ACGAGUGGUGCAAGCGUUAUUCGGAAUCAUUGGGCGUAAAGGGCGCGUAGACGGUGUGUUAAGUUUGCUGUUAAAUUCUCCGGCUCAACUGGAGAUCUGUGGUGAAAACUGACAUGCUAGAGGGUGGAAGAGAGAAGUGGAAUUCUCGGAGUAGCGGUAAAAUGCGUAGAUCUCGAGAGGAACACCAAUGGCGAAGGCAGCUUCUUGGUCCAUUUCUGACGUUGAGGCGCGAAAGCGUGGGGAGCAAACAGGA
rnacentral:rRNA from 1 species